UACAGAGGGGGCAAGCGUUGUCCGGAAUUACUGGGCGUACAGCGCGCGCAGGCGGACCGCCACGUGCCGUGUGACAAGCCACUGCUCAACAGUGGAGGGCCAGGGUACACGAGCGGUCUGGAGGCAGGGAGAGGGAUGUGGAAUGCCCGGUGGAGCGGUGAAAUGCGUAGAGAUCGGGCGGAACACCAGCGGCGAAGGCGGCAUCCUGGUCCUGUUCUGACGCUGAGGCGCGAGAGCGUGGGGAGCGAACAGG
rnacentral:rRNA from 1 species